UCAGUAACACUGUAGUCAACCUAACGUCAUUGGAGGGGGAUAAUCUCGGGAAACUGAGAAUAAACCCCGCAUAGAUAAUGGUGCCUGGAAUGGCCCAUUGUUGAAACAGUUUACUGCCGUGGGAUGGGACUGCGGCCUAUCAGCUUGUUGGUGAGGUAAUGGCCCACCAAGGCUAUAACAGGUACGGGCUCUGAGAGGAGAAGCCCGGAGAUGGGUACUGAGACACGGACCCAGGCCCUAUGGGGCGCAGCAGGCGAGAAACCUUAGCAAUGUGCGAAAGCACGACUGGGUCAGUCCGAGUGAUUUCUGAUAAAGGAAUCUUUUGCCCGUUGUAAACGCACGGGUGAAUAAGGGGUGGGCAAGUCUG
rnacentral:rRNA from 1 species